AGCAGCCGCGGUAAUUCCAGCUCCAAUAGCGUAUAUUAAAGUUGUUGCAGUUAAAAAGCUCGUAGUUGAAUUUCGGGGUUCCACCGUUGGUCGAGCUAUUGUUUGUACUGGCGUGUGGAAUUUCUACCUUCUGGGGAACUAUCAUGUUAUUAAUUUAGCGUGGUAGGAAACCAGGACCUUUACCUUGAAAAAAUUAGAGUGUUUAAAGCAGGCAUUUUGCUUGAAUACAUUAGCAUGGAAUAAUAAAAUAGGACGGCAUGAUUCUAUUUUGUUGGUUUCUAGGAUCACCGUAAUGAUUAAUAGGGAUAGUUGGGGGCAUUAGUAUUCAAUUGUCAGAGGUGAAAUUCUUGGAUUUAG
rnacentral:rRNA from 1 species